UACGUAGGGUGCAGGCGUUAAUCGGAAUUACUGGGCGUAAAGCGUGCGCAGGCGGUUUCUUAAGUCAGAUGUGAAAUCCCCGGGCUUAACCUGGGAACUGCAUUUGUGACUGCAUGGCUGGAGUGCGGCAGAGGGGGAUGGAAUUCCGCGUGUAGCAGUGAAAUGCGUAGAUAUGCGGAGGAACACCGAUGGCGAAGGCAAUCCCCUGGGCCUGCACUGACGCUCAUGCACGAAAGCGUGGGGAGCAAACAGG
rnacentral:rRNA from 1 species